rnacentral:rRNA from 1 species
CUACGGGGGGCUCCAGUGGGGAAUAUUGGACAAUGGGGGAAACCCUGAUCCAGCAAUGCCGCGUGUGUGAAGAAGGCCUGCGGGUUGUAAAGCACUUUCGGUUGGGAGGACUGCUUCUAGCACUAAUAUUGUUGGAAGUUGACGUUACCUUCAGAAGAAGCACCGGCUAACUCCGUGCCAGCAGCCGCGGUGAAUACGGAGGGUGCAAGCGUUAAUCGGAAUUACUGGGCGUAAAGCGCGCGUAGGCGGCUAGGUCAGUCGGGUGUGAAAGCCCCGGGCUUAACCUGGGAACUGCAUCCGAUACUGUCUAGCUUGAGUACAGGAGAGGAGAGUGGAAUUCCACAUGUAGCGGUGAAAUGCGUAGAUAUGUGGAGGAACACCAAUGGCGAAGGCAGCUCUCUGGCCUGAUACUGACGCUGAGGUGCGAAAGCGUGGGGAGCAAACAGGAUUAGAUACCCGUGUAGUC